rfam:Beggiatoa alba B18LD genomic scaffold Begalscaffold_2, whole genome shotgun sequence.
CAUCCCCUGCUUAGGUUGUGAAAGCUUGUAAUACUCUUGAACCUAUAAUUUUGCAUCUCGGGAAUAAAGAGUUACUGAUUUUGUUGUGCAUGCCCACCUUGAAGUGGGAAGUCUGAUAAAUCGCUCGAUAUACCCACUUGAACCACACGGUUCAGAGAUGUCGCCGUAACAAACUGGGUAGGUGGGUGCUUU